rnacentral:lncRNA from 1 species
AUGAAACCUAAUUUUAAAGAGUUUUGUGGAAAAAGUCCAAUUUAUCGCCUGAUUUCAUGUCUGUUUUCAGCUCCAGCAAACACAGACAGCUUCAGUCUAACUGGACAAAAUGAGACCAGCAUCAGUCUGCAGUGGAAUAAAGUCAACAACCACAGUUUUAUUCUGCAGUUUAAUGGUUCAGUGAUAAACGUUCUUCCACCUGAUGGACCUGGACCAGUGAAUUACACAGUCUCUGGUCUCAGAGCUGGAACUGAGUACAUAUUCACGCUCAUCACUGUGGUUAACGGGGUCAGAAGCAGGGGAGCGGUUUUGAGAGUCAGCACUGGUGAAGGUUAUGUUGUCGGAUUAAACGUCAGACUUAAGUCUUUGGUGCAGCUGUCAAACACUGACAUUGAAAAUAUUUUGGAGAAGUUCUUGAGGACCAAUGGAUUACCGUCCCAGGGGGUGUCCCUGAAGGUUACAUCUGCUGAAGGCAAUGGAGGAAUAAAUUAAAUUCACUGAGAUUUUUUGUGAUUUGAUCACUGAGAUCAUUGUAUGUCUACAAAACCGAAUAUUAUUACAAACAUUAUACAAUGUUUACGAUUGUCUAUGUUUGAAAUGAAUCUGCACUUCAUAAUUACUUCUCUUUGGUUUAACCUUAUUUAUGUAUGGUAUACACGCUCUGACCUCUAGGUGGUGCUGAUUAACUAACUUAAUAUUGAGGCGUUUUCGUGUGUUUGUCUUCACCGAUGUUUUGGGAUUUGUUAUACUGUGUGAAUAUUCAGUUGCUGUGCUGAAAAACAUAUCUACCAAUACAAGGCAAGACACUUGUGAGUUAGUUAGUUUUUACUAUUCAUGCUGAACAUUGUCAUUGUUAAUGUCCAAUACUUAUAUUUUGUUUUUGUUAUUUUUAUUUUUUACUAUAGCCUCUUCUUUACCAUAUAGUGCGAGUUUUACAAAGCAAAAAGCUGUUUUAAUGUUGAAAAUGUUUGAUAACCUGAUAUGCUGUACCUUUUAAUAUGCUUUUGAUAUUUUGUAAAUAAAUUAAUGUUAUAUAACAUUGGCCAUUUCAACAUCUGCUAAUGCCACAGCCCACAACCAGACAAUACAAUUUUAUUACAUUGU